UGGUCAAGUUAUUAAGGGUGCAGGGCGGAUGCCUUGGCACUAGGAGCCGAUGAAGGACGUGAUAAGCUGCGAUAAGCUUCGGGGAGUUGCACGUAAACUUUGAUCCGAAGAUUUCCGAAUGAGGAAACUCACUUAGAGUAAUGUCUAAGUAUCAUUAAGUGAAUACAUAGCUUAAUGAGGGGAACUCAGGGAACUGAAACAUCUAAGUACCUGAAGGAAGAGAAAGAAAUUCGAUUCCGUAAGUAGCGGCGAGCGAACGCGGAUUAGCCCAAACCAAUAAAGUUUUCUUUAUUGGGGUUGCGGACAUAUCAUAACGAAGAGGUAUCGUAAUUGAAGAGGUUUGGAAAGACCCACCACAGAAGGUAAUAGUCCUGUAUGUUAAACGAGAAGACUUCAGAUAUGAUCCAGAGUACCACGGGACACGUGAAACCCUGUGGGAAGCAGGAGGGACCACCCUCCAAGGCUAAAUACUACCUAGUGACCGAUAGCGUAUAGUACCGUGAGGGAAAGGUGAAAAGAACCCCGGGAGGGGAGUGAAAUAGAACCUGAAACCCUGCACUUACAAGCUGUGGAAGCACAUUUCUUGUGUGACCGCGUACUUUUUGUAGAACGGGCCAACGAGUUACGUUAAGUAGCAAGGUUAAGCACUUAAGGUGCGGAGCCGUAGCGAAAGCGAGUUUUAACUGAGCGUUCAGUUACUUGACGUAGACCCGAAACCGGGCGACCUACCCAUGAGCAGGAUGAAGCGAAAGUAAAAUUUCGUGGAGGUCCGAACCCACGAGCGUUGAAAAGCUCGGGGAUGACUUGUGGGUAGCGGUGAAAUUCCAAUCGAGCCCGGAGAUAGCUGGUUCUCCCCGAAAUAGCUUUAGGGCUAGCCUCAAGGUGAGAGAUACGGAGGUAGAGCACUGAAUGUCCUAGGGGGUAUUGCACCUACCGAAGACUAUCAAACUCCGAAUGCCGUCAUCUUAUACUUGGGAGUCAGACUGUGGGUGAUAAGAUUCAUAGUCGAAAGGGCAACAGCCCAGAUCGUCAGCUAAGGUCCCUAAAUGUAAGUUAAGUGGUAAAGGAUGUGGGAUUGCACAGACAACCAGGAUGUUGGCUUAGAAGCAGCCACUCAUUCAAAGAGUGCGUAAUAGCUCACUGGUCGAGUGAUCCUGCGCCGAAGAUUUCCGGGGCUAAAACUUACUACCGAAGCUACGGCAUCAGUAAUGAUGGGUAGGGGAGCUUCCCAUACGGGUUGAAGCAUGACCGUAAGGACAUGUGGACAGUAUGGGAGUGAGAAUGUUGGCAUGAGUAGCGAGAUGUGGGUGAGAAUCCCACAGGCCGUAAACCCAAGGUUUCCAGGGGAAGGUUCGUCCGCCCUGGGUUAGUCGGGACCUAAGCUGAGGCCGAAAGGCGUAGGUGAUGGACAACAGGUUGAUAUUCCUGUACUACCGAUAACCGUUUGAGAGAAGGGAUGACACAGUAGGAUAAGCUAAGCACACUGUUGGUUAUGUGUGCCCAAGCAUUGAGGCAGUCAAAGUAGGCAAAUCCGCUUUGAUAAUGCUGGGAUGUGAUGGGGAGCGAAAUUUAGUAGCGAAGUAGCUGAUUUCACACUGUCAAGAAAAGUCUCUAUCGAGGUUAAAGGUACCCGUACCGCAAACCGACACAGGUGGGUGAGGAGAGUAUCCUAAGGCCAGCGAGAGAACUGUUGUUAAGGAACUCGGCAAAAUGACCCCGUAACUUAGGGAUAAGGGGUGCCACCAUCAGGUGGCCGCAGAGAAUAGGCCCAAGCGACUGUUUACCAAAAACAUAGGUUUCUGCUAAGUCGCAAGACGAUGUAUAGGAGCUGACGCCUGCCCGGUGCUGGAAGGUUAAGGGGAUCUGUUAGAGCAAUCGAAGCAGUGAACUUAAGCCCCAGUAAACGGCGGCCGUAACUAUAACGGUCCUAAGGUAGCGAAAUUCCUUGUCGGGUAAGUUCCGACCCGCACGAAAGGCGUAACGAUUUGGGCACUGUCUCAACAACAGACUCGGUGAAAUUGUAAUUCCGGUGAAGAUGCCGGAUACCUGCGACAGGACGGAAAGACCCCAUGGAGCUUUACUGUAGCUUGACAUUGGGUCUUGGUACUACAUGUACAGGAUAGGUGGGAGGCUUUGAAACCAGGACGCCAGUUUUGGCGGAGCCAUCCUUGGGAUACCACCCUUGUAGUACUGGGACUCUAACCAUAGGCCAUGAAUCUGGUCUUGGGACACUGUCAGGUGGGCAGUUUGACUGGGGCGGUCGCCUCCCAAAAGGUAACGGAGGCGCUCAAAGGUUCUCUCAGUACGGUCGGAAAUCGUACGUAGAGUGUAAAGGCAAAAGAGAGCUUGAUUGCAAGACAUACAGGUCGAGCAAGGAUGAAAAUCGGACUUAGUGAUCCGGUGGUUCUGCGUGGAAGGGCCAUCGCUCAACGGAUAAAAGCUACCCUGGGGAUAACAGGCUUAUCUCCCCCAAGAGUCCACAUCGACGGGGAGGUUUGGCACCUCGAUGUCGGCUCAUCACAUCCUGGGGCUGUAGUAGGUCCCAAGGGUUGGGCUGUUCGCCCAUUAAAGUGGUACGCGAGCUGGGUUCAGAACGUCGUGAGACAGUUCGGUCCCUAUCCGUCGCAGGCGUAGGAAAUUUGAGAAGACCUGUCCUUAGUACGAGAGGACCGGGAUGGACGUACCUCUGGUGUACCAGUUGUCCUGCCAAGGGCAUGGCUGGGUAGCUAUGUACGGAAUGGAUAAGCGCUGAAAGCAUCUAAGCGCGAAGCCAACUUCAAGAUAAGAUUUCCCACCGCAAGGGUAAGACCCCAGAAAGACUAUCUGGUUGAUAGGUCGAAGGUGUAAGUGCAGCAAUGUAUUUAGCUUAUCGAUACUAAUAGGUCGAGGACUUGACCAAU
rnacentral:rRNA from 1 species